UAAAGCGGGAUAAACUAUUUAGAGUCUAGUUAUGAGGGCAAUGGUCUAGGAAACCAUUGCAUUUGUUAUCUGUGAAUUGUGACUCAGUUUUUGCAUCUGUAAAGUGGCAAUAGAUUCAGAAAUUUAAAAAAUGUUAAUGCUGGAACAGAUCUUAGAAUUAAUCUAGUCUAAUGCCUUUAUUUUGGAGAAAAGGAUCCUGAAGCCAGACAGAUGAGUAAACUGAGACCUCAGAAGGUUGAGCAUCUUGCCCAAGGUCAUGCAACAGGCUGUCUCUGACAGAAGAAUACAGUUCAUCAAAAGUGUCUGCAGGUUGUCAAACUCAGGGAGGUUUGGGGACCCUCUGAGGCUGUCAUGGUCAACAAGAAGAUUUUCUGUCGGGCUUCGCCAUCACUCACCCUGAGGAAAUAAUCACUCACUACAUUCUGCAUGUUCUCAUGAUAGAGCUCUCCAUUUGAGAGAAAAGAGCCAUUUUAUCAAAGGACAAUAUAGCCCUUCUCUGGGUCCACGUAGCUUCCAUUAUCAGACCAUAAUAAAUCAUAUUUAUGUUCUCAGUUAAUAAGACUGAUUACAAUGCAGGUUUCAGACGUGGGAAAGCAAAGCAGGUGAAAAGACGUUUUAAUGAAAAUAUGAUAAGAAAACAGCUUCUAGUGAACAUUUCAUGCUAUUAUUUGUAAUGAUUACAGACAAUUUUUGAUGCAUCUUCUUUAGCAGUGGUUUAAGCUGCAUAAAUUGGCUCACUG